rnacentral:rRNA from 1 species
GAUGAACGCUGGCGGCGUGCCUAAUACAUGCAAGUCGAGCGAACAGACGAGGAGCUUGCUCCUCUGACGUUAGCGGCGGACGGGUGAGUAACACGUGGAUAACCUACCUAUAAGACUGGGAUAACUUCGGGAAACCGGAGCUAAUACCGGAUAAUAUAUUGAACCGCAUGGUUCAAUAGUGAAAGACGGUUUUGCUGUCACUUAUAGAUGGAUCCGCGCGGCAUUAGCUAGUUGGUAAGGUAACGGCUUACCAAGGCAACGAUGCGUAGCCGACCUGAGAGGGUGAUCGGCCACACUGGAACUGAGACACGGUCCAGACCCCUACGGGAGGCAGCAGUAGGGAAUCUUCCGCAAUGGGCGAAAGCCUGACGGAGCAACGCCGCGUGAGUGAUGAAGGUCUUCGGAUCGUAAAACUCUGUUAUUAGGGAAGAACAAAUGUGUAAGUAACUGUGCACGUCUUGACGGUACCUAAUCAGAAAGCCACGGCUAACUACGUG